rnacentral:rRNA from 1 species
UGGGGAAUUUUGGACAAUGGGCGAAAGCCUGAUCCAGCCAUGCCGCGUGCAGGAUGAAGGCCUUCGGGUUGUAAACUGCUUUUGUACGGAACGAAAAGGUCUUUUCUAAUAAAGAAGGCUCAUGACGGUACCGUAAGAAUAAGCACCGGCUAACUACGUGCCAGCAGCCGCGGUAAUACGUAGGGUGCAAGCGUUAAUCGGAAUUACUGGGCGUAAAGCGUGCGCAGGCGGUUAUAUAAGACAGAUGUGAAAUCCCCGGACUCAACCUGGGAACUGCAUUAGUGACUGUAUAGCUAGAGUGCGGCAGAGGGGGAUGGAAUUCCGCGUGUAGCAGUGAAAUGCGUAGAUAUGCGGAGGAACACCGAUGGCGAAGGCAAUCCCCUGGGCCUGCACUGACGCUCAUGCACGAAAGCGUGGGGAGCAAACA